GCCCUAACUCUAUUUCUCCUCGCGCAAAACCCCUCUAAAUGAAAAACGGUCCUGACUCUGCCCUUCAGAUGACGCCAUUGCUGCUCCAGUCGGUGACACCACUGCUGCUCCUCCGGGUGGCGCCGACGCUGCUCUUGCCAUCAAAGCCCACGCUCCUCUUGCCUUAUUUCUAGGAUGGAUUCUUGGAUCUCUCUUUGCUCAGCUCACUGGGAAGGAAUCGGAGCCAAGAGCAGAUAUGAUAAGGGUGUUUGACAUUAAAGCAAGGGCUGGCCAAGACCAUGUUAUUUGGAUUGAGCACUUAUCUUCAAUCCAAUUGUUGUAUUUAUGAAUUUAGUAAUUGACAAUUUGUAGCUAAUUGAUGUUGUUAUGGUGUUAGUAGUUAAUCACUUUGGAAUUUCAAACUUAUAAAUAGGGAAAAAUUAAUAGAUGUAUACAUGGUUGAAGGAAUAAUUGAAUUGGCAUUCAUUGU